rnacentral:rRNA from 1 species
CGAUACGACCGUACCGCAAACCGACACUGGUGCGCGAGAUGAGUAUUCUAAGGCGCUUGAGAGAACUCAGGAGAAGGAACUCGGCAAAUUGACACCGUAACUUCGGAAGAAGGUGUGCCCUAUUAGUGUGUAGUGAACAACGAAGCAUGAAUGGGUUGCAAAAAAUCGGUGGCUGCGACUGUUUAUUAAAAACACAGCACUCUGCAAACACGAAAGUGGACGUAUAGGGUGUGACGCCUGCCCGGUGCUGGAAGAUUAAAUGAUGGGGUGCAAGCUCUUGAUUGAAGUCCCAGUAAACGGCGGCCGUAACAAUAACGGUCCUAAGGUAGCGAAAUUCCUUGUCGGGUAAGUUCCGACCUGCACGAAUGGCGUAACGAUGGCCACACUGUCUCCUCCUGAGACUCAGCGAAGUUGAAAUGUUUGUGAUGAUGCAAUCUCCCCGCGGAAAGACGGAAAGACCCCAUGAACCUUUACUGUAGCUUUGUAUUGGACUUUGAACAGAUCUGUGUAGGAUAGGUGGGAGGCUUUGAAGCAGGGUCGCUAGAUCUUGUGGAGCCAACGUUGAAAUACCACCCUGGUGUGUUUGAGGUUCUAACCUAGGUCCAUUAUCUGGAUCGGGGACAGUGCAUGGUAGGCAGUUUGACUGGGGCGGUCUCCUCCCAAAGCGUAACGGAGGAGUUCGAAGGUACGCUAGUUACGGUCGGACAUCGUGACGAUAGUGCAAUGGCAUAAGCGUGCUUAACUGCGAGACUGACAAGUCGAGCAGAUGCGAAAGCAGGACAUAGUGAUCCGGUGGUUCUGUAUGGAAGGGCCAUCGCUCAACGGAUAAAAGGUACUCUGGGGAUAACAGGCUGAUACCGCCCAAGAGUUCAUAUCGACGGCGGUGUUUGGCACCUCGAUGUCGGCUCAUCUCAUCCUGGGGCUGUAGCCGGUCCCAAGGGUAUGGCUGUUCGCCAUUUAAAGAGGUACGUGAGCUGGGUUUAAAACGUCGUGAGACAGUUUGGUCCCUAUCUUCCGUGGGCGCUGCAGAUUUGAGGAAGCCUGCUCCUAGUACGAGAGGACCGGAGUGGACACACCUCUGGUGUAUCGGUUGUCACGCCAGUGGCAUUGCCGAGUAGCUAAGUGUGGAAGAGAUAACCGCUGAAAGCAUCUAAGCGGGAAACUCGUUUCAAGAUGAGAUCUGCCGGGGCCUUGAGCCCCCUAAAGAGUCGUUCAAGACCAGGACGUUGAUAGGUCAGGUGUGGAAGCCAA